rnacentral:lncRNA from 1 species
AUGCUCUCCAUGCGAUUGUGUCCUGUACCUGGCAGCUUAUAUCCUUGGAACAAACCCCAUUUUCCUUCCUUUGCUUCCCCACGUCCUAAGGUUGUGUUGGAUUUCCUUAGAAGCAGCAGGAAAUUCUUAGAGGAAAAAAAAAAAAUUCUCUUUAUUUAUGAUACUAUUACUCUAUUCUGGGGACCCAGCAGAAAUCAGUCAAGAGAAGAUUUUGCUUUCCUCCCGAAACUGACCACUGGUGCGCAGGGGCUUUUAAGGGGCGUUUCAGGGCCGUAUAGGUGGAGGGAGGGGGCUGCAGGCAGAAACAGCAGUCAGCUCCGACAGACCUCAUGAAAUUGGACAUGUCUCCAGCCCAGUUCAUCUUCAGUUCCAAGGUCCUUUUGUUUCCCUUUCCUUGGGGCGAUUUCUCGGAAUUGUGGCAGCGUACGUCUUGGUUAUACUGGUCAUCAUGGCAUAACGUCUCCCGCCUGGUGGGGGUUUCAGCCUCUACAAGACAGCGCAUAGGAUAUGGCUCGAAUGUGAUCUAUAGCCCUGGAGGAGGAACUAAAGGUCCUUGACUUUGCUUAAUGACUAAACUGUAAUUAUGUGGUCUCAUUUGACUAUUUUGCCUUUGCUUCUGCAUUUUCUUAGUUCUCUGAUUAAACGUAUUCUUUUCUGGCUGCUCCUCGGCAUAUGGAGUUUCCAGACCAGGCAUCAGAUCUGAGUGGCAGUUGCGACCUAGGCUGCCGCUAUGGCAACUCCUGGUCCUUUAACGAUGGGUUGGGGAUUGAACUUCCCUCCUGGUGCUGCAGAGAUGCUGCUGAUCCUGUGGCACCUCAGCAGGAACUCCUGAUUAACUUACUCUUUUUUUUUUUGAAAAUGAAAAUGUAUGUAUGUAUUUAUUUAUUUAUUUUCCCGCUGUACAGCAUGGGACCAAGUUACACAUACAUGUAUACGUACUUUUUCCUCCCAUUGUUGUGUUGUGAUGUAAGUACCUAGACAUAGUUCUCCAUGCUACACAGCAGUAAAUUUAUUCUUUGACUCAAGUUUGUCUACAGACAAAAGGCCCGUGGCAGACAUGGGGAAAGAAGGGAAGGACCUGAGGCUCCUGCUCGGUGUCAGUAGCAGGACCGGAUAAACUGGCCCCUUGUCAGAAGAGGCUUGAGAGGAGUGUUUAUGGUGGAAAAGUGGCUGAGAGCCCUGGUAGGGGCUUGCGAGGCAUAUGAAAAUGAUUAUGCAUGUGCCUUUCCUCGGCUAUUGUUACGGUCAGAGUUAUUUAUUUAUUUAUUUAUUUAUUUAUUUUUGGUCUUUUUUGCUAUUUCUUUGGGCCGCUCCCUCGGCAUAUGGAGGUUCC